CGAAGGGGUGGAGGACGAGGUCACCUGGCGGCUGCUCGCGGCGGCCGGCUGCCACGCCGCGCAGGGCUGGUUCCACGCCCGCCCGAUGCCC
rnacentral:tRNA from 1 species